AUUUAGACACGGCAGUCUCUAACCCUGUUAGGUUUUUAUUUCUGUGCACAUUGUCAUUGGCACUGGUUGCAAAUCUGCUAUUGUUGCUGCUAUUCCUCUGUUCUGAGGUCUUCUGUCUGUACCUGGAAUACCCAAGGGAGUCACUCCUGCUGGAGGUCUUGCAUCCACAGUCUCGUUGCCACCCCUUCUCCAUGUCCUCACAUCUACCAGAUUGUCACCUGAGUUGAGCAAAUGUCUUUUCUUGGUACUAAACUCCUGAUGGGGGAGUGUAUUGAAAUGGAGCUUAAUCCUCAUUAUCACUGAAGGAUGAGAGGCUUGGAGAAGAGAGUUAAAGUCUAGGAAACAUGUCCCUCUAACACAGUUAUUGAUAGUUGCCAUGUUCAGAACAGUUCUGGAGAGGGCUCUUUGGUCCAGAGUAUAUCCUUGAUGAAAUCACAGAACCUAACCACCAUUUUAUAAUAUUCUGUCUACAGGGAACUGCAUUCAAAUCUCCAAAUAAGCUUGCUUAUUUACAAUUUUAGUUUGUCUACAGGGAACUGCAUUCAGAAUUUCAAAUAAGCUUGCUUAUUUACAAAGGUAAUCUUGAAAAACAAUGUGGAAGUCAGGGAUAACAAGUGCUCUAGGUAUUUCUGUUACACAGAUCUAAGUGGGUUUGGGGUUUCUACUACUCUCACUGCCCAGGUGCUCAUAGCCUUGGUGCUGGGGCCAGGAUUUGUGUGUACAUACAGUGUUUGCAUUGUUAAAUCUCUCUGAAACUGAACUUCACAGGUUUACCUGAGUUAUCUUGUAAUCAGCAAGUGACCCUUUUUUAUUAGUUAUGUGGGUACUUAGAUCACUUUCACUGUUUCUGUGGGGGCAGUUCUUUGUUUCCUGAUGCGUCCCUGAAAUACCUGCUUUAGACAGACUUCAACUAAGUCAUUAAUGAAAAAGUUGAGGUAUUAUAUUUCCCUGCUAAAGAGUGUGCUCUAAGAACUGGGAAUGGGAUAGAUGUUUGUCUCUUCACACCCCUUCACCCCAUCUAGUAUAAACAGGCCAAAUGGAAAGAUUGUCUUAGGCAUUAGUUUUCCAAGGGAUGAUUUGUUCUUCCUCACAUCACACUGGCAUGUUUGCUUGGGCACAUAGCCAUCCUGGCUGGGCACCAAAAUUGCAAAGAUCAAGAUGACUUGGUUUCUCAGAGACUAACUGCCCCCACCCCCGCAAGCCCCACUUUGACUUCAUCUCUACUCCCUCCUCUUUCAGUGAAAGUCCAUGACUGUGCCACGCCACAGAACGAACACUGCUUGGUAGCAACAGAGACACAUUUUCCAUGCAUCUAGGCUACCCUUCUUUCAAGUCUGGCCUUUGGUUUGCAGUCUCCACCCUCCAGCACCAAGUUGCUUGAGGCCUACAUUUGGGACUGUCUCACUCAAGUGCCACUACUUCUUUGUUCAUUCAUUGGCUUCCCUGCUCACUGUCCGAAACCCAGCUUGUUUUUUUUUUUUUCUUUUCUUUUCUUUUUUGGUCACAGUGGGCCCUUCUAGUUUGUUGUACCAGUUCUGUCCGUCUUGGCUCAGCCAUGCAUCUGGUGUGUGGGGGGGGAGGGGAGAGAAGUUCAGCAUUAAGGCUGAUAAAGUUUGACAACACUCAGCAAAUUGGUAGCUGGGUCAGGGGGAACUUUUCUCACGCUGUGUCUCUAUCCUGUUUCAGUGGAGGACCGGACCUCUGUUCCAUUCCUGAUACUCUCUUAUCAACUCGCUGAGUAAUCUUGGCAUGUUACUUCACCUCUCUGUACUCUCCUGUUUCUUCUCAGCCUCUCUGUGGGGCAAGCUUCUGCCUUAUUGAAGGGAUGCUAUGGGCUCCAGGAUCUUCUCUCCGAGUUUAGGCUGUGGAGGUGUAAAGGCUGACUGACAUUAGGCAGUUCAUCCAGGGCUUUGCUUUCCUCUACGCUCCUACUUCCUAUCUUUCCACAAAUGACUGUUUCCUGGUAUGUUCUCAGGGACGACAUGCCUCAUGGUCUGUUAACUUUCACUCAAGUCUUUUAAUGUUACAUCUGUGAGGAAUGCGGGAGGUGGGACUAAUUUGACAGGAUCAACGGUUAAGCCCAGUGAUGGACAGACUCUUUGUGGUGUCUUCUGGCCUCCACUCUAAUGCCACUCAGCAGAUUCCCAGCUGUAUGGUCUUCUCUCUUCCUGAGCCCCUGGCAGGGAAGUUUUGAGUGGUUCUCCUAUACUGCCUUUCAUGGUCCAUCAGAAAUUGAUUUUUCUUUGGGGGGAGGAGGUUGGGGGUAAGAUGAGGUAAAGCUGGGAGGAAAGCUGGUUCAACUAGUUAUUCUGGAAAGGUGUUAGAGUCUCAUGGCUUCUGCCCCAUCUUUGCUUAUGAGAGGAUGACAAGCUAAAGCCUUGUCUUUGUUGGGCUGCCUUGUUGCUUUCCAUUUGUGUGUGUAUGUGUGUGUGUUUAAUGUAAGUGAAAGCUCCUCUACAGACUUCUGUAGGUAGGCUGUUUUUGAUGUCAUCUUAUCUGACUGAGAGGGUGACUGAUGACAUUUUGGAGCCUUGGAGGUGACUAUCAGGUCUUGACUCCCAUGUUCUUUGAAGGACUUGACUGAGAGUUUGGAGCUCUGUGUUAAUUAGAAAUUGUAAUCAGGGAGUAGCAAGGCAACAGGUGGAAAGUGGACCAGGCAAGAAUCUGGAUACACUACUUGUGUGCUUGUGCCCCAUUGGAUGGAGGUAAUGCUAUUUGGUUGUGUCUCAGCAACCUCUUGAAACAAAAUGGGCAAUCCAGGCCUAGAUAUGGUAGGAUAGGAGACGUAGUGGACCUGCUGUGUGGUAAAUACUGCUACUUUUAGGAGUUUUACAUAUAUUCUUAUCUAAUUUUACAGUAACUCUUUGAGAUAGAUAUUGAUCUCCCCAUUGUGCAGACGAGGGGACUGAGGCUCAGGAGAAAUUAAGUGACAGACUCCACAUGGAAAAACUGACCUUCAAAUUGACUUCUGUCUGACUCCACAUCCCAAGCUAUUUACAUAAGUGAAAGAAAGAGAAGAACUAGGCUGCCUAGUCACCUGAGGUAUUACUGGCUGCAGUUCUUUCUGCCUAACCGAGUGUUUUCAAGUGAUGGGGAAGUCCAACAAUCGAACAAAUAAAAAAGAGAAGAAACUCAAAAUAUGAAAAUUCAGACAUGAAUUUGGAAAUGUUAAAAGGUUUGAGGCUGUUAAAAAACAUCAGUUGUCUUGCCAACUUGUUUAAGGAUUGUCUUCUGUAUAUGAAAAGUAAAAUGUGUGGGCUUGAUAAGGCAAACUCCACUGGAGUUUCAAGUCUGGAUUGCAUUUUUGAUGUCAGUAGUUUUAUGCUGUCUACAUAGUGGAGUAUUAUUAAUCUGUGAAUAUCAUUGUUCAUAUUUCUACAGUAGCAAGGGAUCUUUGAAAAAACAUUAUUAAAUUUGCAAGUAUGAUUUGUUUUCAGUGGUGUCUUCACUGUACUUUCAUCCUGAGUUUUACAUUAAAAUAAAAAGGAGAUAGGGAUUUAUUUCACAAAUUCAUUGCUGCAAAUCUGGCUAGAAAACAUCACUGUAUUAAGAGACUUUUGCAUAUUUGGAAUGAUUAUCUAACCCGAUGCCCUGUAUACUUACAGAAAAUUCUCAGGAAAAGUUAACUUUGUGUACAGGUGGGUGUGCCAGUCCCUUGCCUACCUCCAUUCUUAGAUUUGCUUUCUAUAACUGUAAUUUUUUUUUUUUUUUGCUUUUCUGUGUGCUGAAAAACUGAAAUUCAGAAUGUUGUAAAGAUGCUUGUGCCAUGGAACUUGGUCUCUUCACUCUCCUUUCCUCCCUCCUUGUACACAAAACUCAUUUCAUGGUAAAAAUCUAAUGGGCACAUGGGUUCCUUUACCUAACUCUUCUCUCUGGCCAGGUGAAAUAGCUUGUAAUUUAUAUUUGAAACUGAUUGGAAUAGCUAACUGCUGGGGGUAUUUUUGUGACUACCCAAGUGCUCUGGCUUUUAUAAGAGCCAGCUUGCCAGUUUCUCUCUGCUGUAUGAGAUCUGGUGGGAGGAUGAUAUUCUCCCUCUCUGGAUGUAAAGGGUUAAAUAUGUAAUUUUCAUGUUUUCCCGUGCCUUUGGCUGGAGAAAUGCACAGUGUUCUGAAACCUGCCCAGGCCCUGCACAUACUGUAUCUGCUUAAAGAAGGCUUUGGCUCUUAGCCCUUCUCAGCUGCAUUAGGGUUCAGGUUUCAUCUUUCUCCCCUUCCAGCCACUAAUAAAAGCCAAAA